rnacentral:rRNA from 1 species
CCUACGGGUGGCAGCAGUGGGGAAUAUUGCACAAUGGGGGGAACCCUGAUGCAGCGACGCCGCGUGAGCGAGGAAGUAUUUCGGUAUGUAAAGCUCUAUCAGCAGGGACGAAAAAGGACGGUACCUGACUAAGAAGCCCCGGCUAACUACGUGCCAGCAGCCGCGGUAAUACGUAGGGGGCAAGCGUUAUCCGGAUUUACUGGGUGUAAAGGGAGCGUAGACGGCAAGGCAAGCCAGAAGUGAAAGGGCAGGGCUCAACCCUGUACAUGCUUUUGGAACUGUGGUGCUAGAGUGCAGGAGAGGUAAGUGGAAUUCCUAGUGUAGCGGUGAAAUGCGUAGAUAUCACGCAGAACUCCGAUUGCGAAGGCAGCAUACCGGCGCUCAACUGACGCUGAGGCACGAAAGCGUGGGGAUCGAACAGGAUUAGAUACCCGAGUAGUC